rnacentral:rRNA from 1 species
AGAACGAACGCUGGCGGCAUGCCUAACACAUGCAAGUCGAACGCUUCCGGGGCUUCGGUCGCGGAGGAGUGGCGCACGGGUGAGUAGCGCGUGGGAACCUGCCCUGUUGUGGGGGAUAACCGAGGGAAACUUCGGCUAAUACCGCAUACGCCCCGGGACUUGGUCUUCGGAUUAGGUCUGGGGGGAAAGAUUGAUCGCAGCAGGAGGGGCCCGCGUCGGAUUAGCUGGUUGGUGGGGUAACGGCUCACCAAGGCGAUGAUCCGUAGCUGGUCUGAGAGGAUGAUCAGCCACACUGGGACUGAGACACGGCCCAGACUCCUACGGGAGGCAGCAGUGGGGAAUAUUGGACAAUGGGGGCAACCCUGAUCCAGCAAUGCCGCGUGAGUGAUGAAGGCCUUAGGUUGUAAAGCUCUUUCGCCCGCGACGAUGAUGACGGUAGCGGGAGAAGAACGCCCCGGCUAACGUUCGCGCCAGCAGCCGCGGU